rnacentral:rRNA from 1 species
AUUGAACGCUGGCGGCACGCCUAACACAUGCAAGUCGAGCGGCAGCGCGAUAUGUAGCAAUACAUAUUGGCGGCGAGCGGCGGACGGGUGAGGAACACGUAGGAACCUAGCCUCGAGUGGGGGAUAACCAAGGGAAACUUUGGCUAAUACCGCAUGAACGCGAGAGAGCAAAGCUGCCGCAAGGUGGCGCUCGAGGAGGGGACUGCGUCCGAUUAGCUAGUUGGUGAGGUAAGAGCUCACCAAGGCGAUGAUCGGUAACUGGUCUGAGAGGACGACCAGUCACACUGGGACUGAGACACGGCCCAGACUCCUACGGGAGGCAGCAGUGGGGAAUAUUGGACAAUGGGGGCAACCCUGAUCCAGCGAUGCCGCGUGAGUGAAGAAGGCCUUCGGGUCGUAAAGCUCUUUAGGUUGGGAAGAAGGGUGAUGGAGGAAAUGCUAUCACUUUGACGGUACCGACAGAAUAAGCACCGGCAAACUCUGUGCCAGCAGCCGCCGUAACAC